ACAACACCAUCCACUCAUUCUUUGCUCGUGCAUCUCCUCUACCGCAACCUCCUCCGCUCGCCUCUUUUCUUCCUCUCUUGUAGAUGCUUACGCCUCCCUCACCGGCGACCGGCUGUGCCGCCAGCCAUGGCCACCGCGCCUCCCCCACCGUGGCUGCCCCCACCCCGCCCCCUCACGCCCCACCAGCGACCAGCGCUGCAAACCAACCCCCACCGGUGCUGCCGAUGGCAGCGAGAAGUAAUGGAGAGCCGCGGCGGCCGACGUUGAGGCGUUGCAACCAUGGCGACAAGUGAUGGAGAUCCAUCAUUUUCUUUUCUUGGAAGCAGCCCCAAUUUUUGCUGCAGACGCCCUUGAUUUUUGCUGAAACCAGUACAUGACGCUGCAAGUUGACAAUGGCGGCGAGCCGGAGACGGGGACGCCAGGGAUGCUCCAACCAUGAUGACAGCGCACUAGAACCCUCCUGUGUUUGAGUUGCAACCAUGACGAGCAGAGGCAGCCAAGGCAAGUGUCGGACACGACCGUCAGGCAAGCGGCAGGCGAGCGCGGGUGACGGGCGUGAUGGCGCGGUGGAAAGCAAGCACGGGAAGACGAGGACUAUCGCGGGCGGCCGGCGAGCACACAGAUCUGGCAUGUGCUCUCGCUGUCCUUUUUUUCAUGUUUCCUGUGCGUGUUUUUUUUCUGCGUGUUUGACUUUAAAACAAAGCAAUCAGACGGUGGGGAACCGAUGUAUCGGGCGGCUGGGGCUUGACCGGCCGAACAGUUCGGUCGGCGCGCCGGCGCCUACAAGCGCCCUUUUAAUUUGUGCGCGGCGCAUUCGUCGUGGCAACGAUCCAUCCAACGGCUUUGGAGACUGAGUUUGUCUGUGUCCGGAUCUCUGUGUCCACACAUACAAGGAUGCUCUUGGAGGAAUUUUAUAGGAAAAAAAUGAGAAAAAUUCACUGUAGGUCACAAAACUUGAGCCGGUUGACACUUUAGUACCACUAUUUCAAAAAUACCCGAACUACAGUUCA